UAAAGCGUGCGCAGGCGGUUAUGCAAGACAGAGGUGAAAUCCCCGGGCUCAACCUGGGAACUGCCUUUGUGACUGCAUAGCUAGAGUACGGUAGAGGGGGAUGGAAUUCCGCGUGUAGCAGUGAAAUGCGUAGAUAUGCGGAGGAACACCGAUGGCGAAGGCAAUCCCCUGGACCUGUACUGACGCUCAUGCACGAAAGCGUGGGGAGCAAACAGGAUUAGAUACCCGGU
rnacentral:rRNA from 1 species